rnacentral:rRNA from 1 species
GAUGAACGCUGGCGGCGUGCUUAACACAUGCAAGUCGAACGGAGAAAGGGUAGCUUGCUAUCUUUUCUUAGUGGCGGACGGGUGAGUAACGCGUGGGUAACCUGCCCUUUGCAGGGGGAUAACAGUGAGAAAUCACUGCUAAUACCGCAUACCAACUUCUUUCGCAUGAAGGAAGUUUGAAAGAUUUAUCGGCAAAGGAUGGACCCGCGUUGGAUUAGCUAGUUGGUGAGAUAACAGCCCACCAAGGCAACGAUCCAUAGCCGGCCUGAGAGGGUGAACGGCCACACUGGGACUGAGACACGGCCCAGACUCCUACGGGAGGCAGCAGUGGGGAAUAUUGCACAAUGGGCGAAAGCCUGAUGCAGCGACGCCGCGUGAAGGAUGAAGGUCUUCGGAUUGUAAACUUCUAUCAGCAGGGAAGAAAGGGCUUAUAGCCUAUGACGGUACCUGACUAAGAAGCCCCGGCUAACUACGUGCCAGCAGCCGCGGUAAUCACG